rnacentral:lncRNA from 1 species
UCGAAUAAUGUUUAUAUUAAACUUUGUCAUGUUAUUGCAAUUCAAAAUAAAAAAAUUGGAAGGAGUAAUUCUCUUUUAGUCCAUAACUUUUUGUUUUUUCUUGGAAGAAAUUCUUAUAAUAUAAAUAAUAAUGAAUCGUUUCAGUAUGAUUAAUUUAAAAAAUACUCCCUUUUGUUAUUAUUUCUUUGAAUUUUGAAGCAAGCCGCCCGGAGCUUUUCAAGUUGCAUCUUUGGACUUAAUCCAUUGUUGGUCCCUGUACUAUAAGUAAAUUAUCACUUUGAUCUUUUUACUUUUUUUUGGUCACUUUUUAUUCCAUCUAUUUUAUUCCGUCAUUUAAUUUAGCUUUUUGUUGAGAAGAUUUAAUAAUCUCAACACUUGCAAUUGCAGGUAGGACCUACAGUUCAAAUGCAUCUUGGGCAAACCUUGGGCACUCGUUCCGUCAAAUAUUAUUUAUAUUUUGGUGAUUUUAAAACUUAAGGUUGUUAAAGGUUGCACUUAUAGUUAAUCAAUCAUCAAAUAUUAUUUAUAUUUUGGUCACAUGAGAAAUAUAUUUAUACUUUGAAAUAGUGAAUAUUGUCUCGGAUUGAAUCAGUUAUAGUUGGCAUGUCAUAUGAUUAGUGUACAAGAUUUUUCUUCGAUUUAUACUAAUGAGGUGUGAAGCGCAAUAUUUCUGAACGUAUCAAUGAUACACUUGGUGCUAGUUAUAUUGGUGUGAUGGUUGGAU